rnacentral:rRNA from 1 species
AUGCUUGCUUCUAUGCCUUUGCCAUGCAAUUGUGACCCUUGCUUGCAUCUACCCAUGAUUCACCAUUAUGCUACUUCUAUGUGUAUUUGCAUGCUUGGUGGAGAUCCUUGUUGCUAUUGCCAUGUUUAUCAUGUGCCUCAUGCUAUUGAUGCUAUUUUUCUCAUAUCUUGCCUUCAUGCUUGUGAUGUGUCUUGUGCAUUAUUCAUGACUACCAUUUGCACACAUGACAUACUUAACAUGAUUCCUUCUAGUACGUUGCAUAUUCGCACUACUAGCUUGCUUGCCUUGAUUCAUAUGAUUGCUUGCUUUGUCGCAUCACCCAUGUUACAUUAUUACUUGCUUUCUUGGGUUGAUGACGUAUAUGUUCAUGCCUCUCACAUGAUACAUCUUGUGAUGCAUGCAUGCUUGCUUGCGCCUAUUCUAUUUGGUUGUUCUCACAUCAUAUGCCUCCGUACUAUGAAAUGCUCCCUUGUCCUUUCUUAUGAUGAGCAUGAUGCAUCCACUUGUUGGGUAUUUUACCGCACGAAUGAUAGGUUUUCCGCUAACCACAUUUGUUUUUCCGAGUGUUUGUCAUGUUCUUUCAUGUUGAAGGAUUCACAAGGCGAUGCCGUCAUGAGACAAUUUGGUCAUGUGAAGGCAUAA